rnacentral:rRNA from 1 species
UACGAAGGGGGCUAGCGUUGCUCGGAUUGACUGGGCGUAAAGGGCGCGUAGGCGGUUCGUACAGUCAGACGUGAAAUUCCUGGGCUCAACCUGGGGGCUGCGUUUGAUACGUGCGGACUUGAGUGCGGAAGAGGGUCGUGGAAUUCCGGGGUGUAGUGGUGAAAUGCGUAGAGAUGUGGAGGAACACCAGUGGCGAAGGCGACUCUUUGGCCUGUAACUGACGCUGAGGCGCGAAAGCGUGGGGGAGCAAACAGG